rnacentral:lncRNA from 1 species
GCUCAAGCAUUCUGGAUUUUGUUUGUACUCUUCUAGUCUUCUUUGUACCAAAUGGGUUUCUUUUUUCUAAAUCUCUGUUUCAAUGUUUUGGGGAUUAAGUUUAUUGAUUUUACUAAUAGAUUUUAUAUUAAAAAUUUUGGGGGACUGUUUACUGUUGGAUUUUAUAUUAUCAAAUUUUGUGGGACUUUUGGAAUUGUUAUGGCAUAUAGCCUAUGGGCUUGAUGCUUGAUGAUUGUUCUUCUAUGGUGGUGAUUGGUGAAUUUUGGGGUACUGUUUACUGGC